UUCAGUUUUUCGACCCAGUUACCGAUUGAUGAUUUCAUGGCGUGAAAAUCAUUGUUACUCCUUUAUUUUCUUGUGAAGAGCGAGUGAAAAGACAGUUGCAGAAUUUCCUUUUUUCCUAAUAGAUUUAUUUUUUGAAUUCGAACGAUAAUAAGAUAAUCAUAGAAUUGUAGACAUUUUUAAGCCAGAAAUAGACAUCGAGUCCGUGGCUAAGUGAUCACUAUCCCUCUUCGUGGAGAAUCUUGUGGGAAAGUUUUUUCAGCGAGAGAAUCAGGCGCCCAUCGUCGACGUGCAGACUAUCAUACUUCCUUGACCCCGUGCUCACUGGGCUAUCUAUGCGAGAGCUUUUAAGCGGCCAUAAAUUGAAUAAUAUCUUUAUUAUCUAAUCCAAGAAUACUUUGACAGUCAAGCAACUAAAACGACGGGCGUCAAUGGAAACAAGAUAGGAGAAAAGUCUAACCAUAAGUGAGCAAGUGUGAACUUUCACUUUUAAAGCUCACCGUAUAUGGAUAUUCAAAACAAGAUCGAGUUCAGAUAUUUUUACCCCAGUUUACUGAUAUUUGCUUUCAAGUUUGCUGUGGGUAUAUGUCGCGUUGUUGAUAC